GCCAGGGACCAACUUCGGGGAGAAGAUAUUUUUGAUUCCUCCACCAUAUGGGUGGUAACAGCCUCUUUCAAAUGGCUAUGCGGCCAGAACAGGCUGCAUCUUUAAAACAACCAGACUCAGUCACCCUUGCUGUCUUUCCAGAGACAUCUAGAAAAGUUUUAGGCACAGGAGGUAGAAUCUUCAGAUCAUUGAGCCCCAGCAAGCUUUCAGGCAGGAUUCAAGACCCAGCAGGGAUGUCCUGAGAUUUAAUCCCAAGGAGGAAAAUUAACUUGGCAGCUGUGUGGAAGAUGAAUUAGAGGAAAAAGUAAGUUGUAUAACAGCUCAUUCCAGAGGUAAUAAAGGCAUUACCAAAGGUACAACUGUGAGAGAUGUUACCAAGAUAGAAUCAAAGGCACUUGGUAAAUGAUUGAAUAAAGGGCUAAGAAGGGAUGUUAGGUGGGUAGAGCACUGGACCUAGAAUCAA